UACGUAGGGGGCAAGCGUUAUCCGGAAUUACUGGGUGUAAAGGGAGCGUAGACGGUAAUGUAAGUCUGGAGUGAAAGGCGGGGGCCCAACCCCCGGACUGCUCUGGAAACUAUGUUACUAGAGUGCAGGAGAGGUAAGCGGAACUCCUAGUGUAGCGGUGAAAUGCGUAGAUAUUAGGAGGAACACCGGUGGCGAAAGCGGCUCUCUGGCCUGUAACUGACACUGAGGCUCGAAAGCGUGGGGAGCAAACAGG
rnacentral:rRNA from 1 species